CCUACGGGGGCUGCAGUGGGGAAUAUUGGACAAUGGGCGAAAGCCUGAUCCAGCCAUGCCGCGUGUGUGAAGAAGGCCUUCGGGUUGUAAAGCACUUUCAGUGGAGAAGAAAGCCUUGGGGCUAAUACCCUCGAGGAAGGACAUCACCCACAGAAGAAGCACCGGCUAACUCCGUGCCAGCAGCCGCGGUAAUACGGAGGGUGCGAGCGUUAAUCGGAAUUACUGGGCGUAAAGCGCGCGUAGGCGGUCUGAUAAGCCGGUUGUGAAAGCCCCGGGCUCAACCUGGGAACGGCAUCCGGAACUGUCAGGCUAGAGUGCAGGAGAGGAAGGUAGAAUUCCCGGUGUAGCGGUGAAAUGCGUAGAGAUCGGGAGGAAUACCAGUGGCGAAGGCGGCCUUCUGGACUGACACUGACGCUGAGGUGCGAAAGCGUGGGUAGCAAACAGGAUUAGAUACCCGGGUAGUC
rnacentral:rRNA from 1 species